rnacentral:rRNA from 1 species
GAUGAACGCUGGCGGCGUGCCUAAUACAUGCAAGUCGAGCGAACGGACGAGAAGCUUGCUUUUCUGAUGUUAGCGGCGGACGGGUGAGUAACACGUGGAUAACCUACCUAUAAGACUGGGAUAACUUCGGGAAACCGGAGCUAAUACCGGAUAAUAUUUUGAACCGCAUGGUUCAAAAGUGAAAGACGGUCUUGCUGUCACUUAUAGAUGGAUCCGCGCUGCAUUAGCUAGUUGGUAAGGUAACGGCUUACCAAGGCAACGAUGCAUAGCCGACCUGAGAGAGUGAGCGGCCACACUGGAACUGAGACACAAUCCAGACUACUACGGGGAGCAGCAGUAGGGAAUCUUCCGCAAUGGGCGAAAGCCUGACGGAGCAAAGCCGCGUGAGUGAUGAAGGUCUACGGAUCGUAAAACUCUGUUAUUAGGGAAGAACAUAUGUGUAAGUAACUGUGCACAUCUUGACGGUACCUAAUCAGAAAGCCACGGCUAACUACGUG